rnacentral:rRNA from 1 species
AGAGCGAACGCUGGCGGCAGGCCUAACACAUGCAAGUCGAGCGCCCCGCAAGGGGAGCGGCAGACGGGAGAGUAACACGUGGGAACGUACCCUUCAGUUCGGAACAACCCAGGGAAACUUGGGCUAAUACCGGAUACGUCCGUAAGGAGAAAGAUUUAUCGCUGAAGGAUCGGCCCGCGUCUGAUUAGCUAGUUGGUGAGGUAACGGCUCACCAAGGCGACGAUCAGUAGCUGGUCUGAGAGGAUGAUCAGCCUCACUGGGACUGAGACACGGCCCAGACUCCUACGGGAGGCAGCAGUGGGGAAUAUUGGACAAUGGGCGCAAGCCUGAUCCAGCCAUGCCGCGUGGAUGAUGAAGGCCUUAGGGUUGUAAAGUCCUUUCGGCGGGGAAGAUAAUGACGGUACCCGCAGAAGAAGCCCCGGCUAACUUCGUGCCAGCAGCCGC